CGGGAGAUUCCAGACAGUAAACCUGGCCUUCCUUCUUUCUACAGACUUUCCCAGACAGCCUGGACUGCAUGUGGGUCUGCUUGGCAGGAACAGAUGAGCCGUUCAGUGCCUACCAUGGAUGGAACAGUACAGCACAGAUGGGGACAGACUGCAAACUCUGCGGCUCCCGGGACUGCAGCCUCCAAAGUUCUCCAGAGCCAAGAGCAAGGCGACGAGUAGGCCAGAGGGGGCCAGAGGAUAAUCCGGAAGGGCUGAUUCGGGCGCUUAAUAAAUGCCUGUACGUGCCAACUGUGGAGCCAGGCACUGGGAUCCACUGAAGGGCAGUGAGAUGGAUGGACCUUGCAGUCACAAAGCCCAGAGCGGGACAGG
rnacentral:lncRNA from 1 species